rnacentral:rRNA from 1 species
UACGAAGGGGGCUAGCGUUGCUCGGAAUUACUGGGCGUAAAGGGCGCGUAGGCGGAUAUUUAAGUUAGAGGUGAAAGCCCAGGGCUCAACCCUGGAAUAGCCUUUAAUACUGGAUAUCUUGAGUUCGGGAGAGGUGAGUGGAACUCCGAGUGUAGAGGUGAAAUUCGUAGAUAUUCGGAAGAACACCAGUGGCGAAGGCGACUCACUGGCCCGAUACUGACGCUGAGGCGCGAAAGCGUGGG